AUUGAACGCUGUCGGCAGGCCUAACACAUGCAAGUCGAGCGGUAGCACAGAGAGCUUGCUCUCGGGUGACGAGCGGCGGACGGGUGAGUAAUGUCUGGGAAACUGCCUGAUGGAGGGGGAUAACUACUGGAAACGGUAGCUAAUACCGCAUAAUGUCGCAAGACCAAAGUGGGGGACCUUCGGGCCUCAUGCCAUCAGAUGUGCCCAGAUGGGAUUAGCUAGUAGGUGGGGUAACGGCUCACCUAGGCGACGAUCCCUAGCUGGUCUGAGAGGAUGACCAGCCACACUGGAACUGAGACACGGUCCAGACUCCUACGGGAGGCAGCAGUGGGGAAUAUUGCACAAUGGGCGCAAGCCUGAUGCAGCCAUGCCGCGUGUGUGAAGAAGGCCUUCGGGUUGUAAAGCACUUUCAGCGGGGAGGAAGGCGGUGAGGUUAAUAACCUCAUCGAUUGACGUUACCCGCAGAAGAAGCACCGGCUAACUCCGUGCCAGCAGCCGCGGUAAUACGGAGGGUGCAAGCGUUAAUCGGAAUUACUGGGGCGUAAAGCGCACGCAGGCGGUCUGUCAAGUCGGAUGUGAAAUCCCCGGGCUCAACCUGGGAACUGCAUUCGAAACUGGCAGGCUAGAGUCUUGUAGAGGGGGGUAGAAUUCCAGGUGUAGCGGUGAAAUGCGUAGAGAUCUGGAGGAAUACCGGUGGCGAAGGCGGCCCCCUGGACAAAGACUGACGCUCAGGUGCGAAAGCGUGGGGAGCAAACAGGAUUAGAUACCCUGGUAGUCCACGCCGUAAACGAUGUCGAUUUGGAGGUUGUGCCCUUGAGGCGUGGCUUCCGGAGCUAACGCGUUAAAUCGACCGCCUGGGGAGUACGGCCGCAAGGUUAAAACUCAAAUGAAUUGACGGGGGCCCGCACAAGCGGUGGAGCAUGUGGUUUAAUUCGAUGCAACGCGAAGAACCUUACCUGGUCUUGACAUCCACAGAACUUUCCAGAGAUGGAUUGGUGCCUUCGGGAACUGUGAGACAGGUGCUGCAUGGCUGUCGUCAGCUCGUGUUGUGAAAUGUUGGGUUAAGUCCCGCAACGAGCGCAACCCUUAUCCUUUGUUGCCAGCGGUUAGGCCGGGAACUCAAAGGAGACUGCCAGUGAUAAACUGGAGGAAGGUGGGGAUGACGUCAAGUCAUCAUGGCCCUUACGACCAGGGCUACACACGUGCUACAAUGGCAUAUACAAAGAGAAGCGACCUCGCGAGAGCAAGCGGACCUCAUAAAGUAUGUCGUAGUCCGGAUUGGAGUCUGCAACUCGACUCCAUGAAGUCGGAAUCGCUAGUAAUCGUAGAUCAGAAUGCUACGGUGAAUACGUUCCCGGGCAU
rnacentral:rRNA from 1 species